AUAAGUUAUCUAAUCUUCUUGCGCGAUUGAAAAAAAAGGAGUUUGAUUUUCGGGUCCUUAUAGCUCUUCGCAUUUGUGAUUUGGGAGGACACAAUAUAUUUUAUCUAUAAAGUGAUUUAUCUUACUUUAAAAAACAUGACUUUAAAGCCGAAUAUGGUAUUCUAAUUUAGACAUUUGAUCAUAUUUCUCAUCUACAGCAAAAAACAAUGUCUUUAUAUAUAUCCAGAUAGGGCUUGUUGGACUCCACCGUGAUCCCGGGAUUGAUAAUUUUGUAAGAAUCUGUGUGGGUGUUAAAUAAAGUUGUUUAGUGAUAACUUUUGUGGACUUUGAGGAGAGCCAUGAUGUUCGACUUGUUGGUCGAACUCUUUUUUAUGCCUACAAGUUGUUUGAUAGUUUGUCUACAAGAGACCUGAGCUGCAAAGUUGCAGAAUGAAUUAGUCUAUUAUUCAAGAAGCCAAAGUUUCUGCAAGCGGUAUCUCGGUACUGAAGAUCAGAUGAAUUAUGCUACGUGUACUGAUAGGGUGAAUGUCAGCAUCCUGUUUCGUGGUGGAAGGUUGGAUUGGGCUGAGUCUCGUUCAGAGUGACGAGAGACUGAAUCAUGUUCAAAAUACUAGGUGGUCAGAUUGAGCCGAGUCAUAAUCAAGACUUGUGGACGUUGUGCCUGUACACUUUCCAAUAACUCGAACUUUGGAAUUAAUGAUUAGCACCCAUGAUCCUACAAUGCCAUUCAAACUGACAGAAAAUAUGGCUCAGGAAUAGUAUUAAACCAGAUAUGUAUUCGCUUUCUUUCUUCCUAACAAAAGCAUGUGUAGUAUUAUUAAUUAGAAAAGAAGCAUAUUUUGUAGGUAUGACAUAUAUGUUUAAGUUCAAUAUGAUACAUGAUUCUUACACUUGUUAUUUACAUUAGAUGUCAAGGAAUGGAGGUGUCAGUGUUUGAAGCUUCAUGAAUGAAAGGCGCGAAAAAAAUGGUGCUAACUACUUCACAUAUACCUUUGCACGCAACUCCGCGAAAAGCGUGCCGUUAACCGAGGACGACUGAAUCGACAUGAUCUCGAGCCGAAGCUCGUGAAUUGUCUGCA